rnacentral:rRNA from 1 species
CUUGCUUCUCUUGAGAGCGGCGGACGGGUGAGUAAUGCCUAGGAAUCUGCCUGGUAGUGGGGGAUAACGUUCGGAAACGGACGCUAAUACCGCAUACGUCCUACGGGAGAAAGCAGGGGACCUUCGGGCCUUGCGCUAUCAGAUGAGCCUAGGUCGGAUUAGCUAGUUGGUGGGGUAAUGGCUCACCAAGGCUACGAUCCGUAACUGGUCUGAGAGGAUGAUCAGUCACACUGGAACUGAGACACGGUCCAGACUCCUACGGGAGGCAGCAGUGGGGAAUAUUGGACAAUGGGCGAAAGCCUGAUCCAGCCAUGCCGCGUGUGUGAAGAAGGUCUUCGGAUUGUAAAGCACUUUAAGUUGGGAGGAAGGGUUGUAGAUUAAUACUCUGCAAUUUUGACGUUACCGACAGAAUAAGCACCGGCUAACUCUGUGCCAGCAGCCGCGGUAAUACAGAGGGUGCAAGCGUUAAUCGGAAUUACUGGGCGUAAAGCGCGCGUAGGUGGUUUGUUAAGUUGGAUGUGAAAUCCCCGGGCUCAACCUGGGAACUGCAUUCAAAACUGACUGACUAGAGUAUGGUAGAGGGUGGUGGAAUUUCCUGUGUAGCGGUGAAAUGCGUAGAUAUAGGAAGGAACACCAGUGGCGAAGGCGACCACCUGGACUAAUACUGACACUGAGGUGCGAAAGCGUGGGGGAGCAAACAGGAUUAGAUACCCUUGGUAGUCCACGCCGUAAACGAUGUCAACUAGCCGUUGGGAAGCCUUUGAGCUU